GAAAGAAACGCAGCUCUUGACUUCUUUUUUGUAAACAUUACUGUAAGAGUUGUGAUAACUUUUUAUUCUACUAUGUAUAUGUAUGGAAUAGUAUUAAUAAAUGAACUAGGGAAGGAUGUAAUAAAUUAGACAUCUCUUCAUUUUAGAGAGAAGAUGGAAACAACAUUGCUUUUCUUUUCUCAAAUAAAUAUGUGUGAAUCAAAAGAAAAAACUUUUUUCAAGUUAAUACAUGGUUCAGGAAAAGAAGAAACAAGCAAAGAAGCCAAAAUCAGAGCUAAGGAAAAAAGAAAUAGACUAAGUCUUCUUGUGCAGAAACCUGAGUUUCAUGAAGACACCCGCUCCAGUAGAUCUGGGCACUUGGCCAAAGAAACAAGAGUCUCCCCUGAAGAGGCAGUGAAAUGGGGUGAAUCAUUUGACAAACUGCUUUCCCAUAGAGAUAGAAAGACUCAACUGAGCAGGUGAUGCAGCUAGUCUAGUUACAACUGGAUGAUGAUCAAUUAGAGGGUGAAAAUUUCAAUUGACAAUAACAUAUAGACAGGAUUUCUUUCACUUAAUGAAUUAGUAUAUAAUAAUUUCAUCAUACUUUCAUUACUCAUUCAAAGCAUAGAAAGAUUUAGCAGGAUGAUUAGUCCUACAGAAAAUCCUCACCUAGCAUUCUGUAAUCUUUCUUCUUUAAAAGUGGUAAAAAGCAAAAGGACAAAAUCGAAUUUGCUACUCUCUCUUUUCUCUACUGGUAAUAUUGAAGAACAGUAAACUAUCUGCAAUUUAAAUCAAGAAGAGACACAUUUAAAGAAAUCAGCACUGACCCACUGGAUAUUAUCACUUGUCAUGAUUACAAUGCUAAAUAUAUUAUAUUGAAUUCACAGAAUUUAUAUUACCAGUAUUAUUUUACUCAAUCUCCCCUAAUCCAAUUAUUUUUAUUACAAUGCUUAUAAUAAUAUUAAAUUGUCAAACUUAAAAUAAUCACCUAAAACAAGCCUUUUGUUUGCAGUGGUUAAAUUCAGUUUAUUUCUAUUUAUUUGACUCUAGUAGAAAAGUGUGUGUGUGAAUAUAUAUAUAUAUUUUUUUUUUUUCUUUUUUUUAAAGAGAAAGAUCCUACACACACACACACUUCAAGAAAGACAUUGCUCUAUCAAAUUUUAUCAAAUUUCCUUUUAUAAAAUUUUAUAAAAUGCAUACUUUUCUCAAAUUCUGUAUGUUAUGUCAUUAAAAGGAAACAAAAUUUACUCAGUUUAUUCAAAUGAGAAAUUAAGUGAUAAAUCAAACCAGAUACAAUGGAAAUUUGGGUAUUCAAUUUGACAAAAACAGUUAAUAUUAGAACCAUCAUAAACUGAUUAUUAGCAGUUUUAGGAAUGAAACCACAGGAUGGAUGGUUUUUACCCUAGAUUUUAGGGGAUUAAUCAAAAUUCACUAGCCGAACAAGGACAGAAGGAGACCAUCCAAGCAAAGAAUCAGUAUAGGAAUGGGGCGUUAAACAAUAUAAUUUAGUUAGGGAAUUAAAACCAAAACAAUUCUUUAUUGAAAAAUACAAUUUGAAAAGGGAUGGUGGCUUAGGGUGACAGACAAUAUAUCCAUGAGACCAAAACAGAAAGGUCACUGAUUUUUGCUCUAUUCCACAGAAAUCAAAUGAUUCAGGGAGGUGUUCUGAUAAUUCUAUUUUAUUCUAAUUUUAGUCACACAGUUUAACUUUUUUAAAAUUAAAAAAAAAAUGAGUAAAUAUAAACUUCAGUUCAAAAUUAUGCAUCAGUGUUGUUUCAGUAAUUGCAACAAAUGUCCCAUACCAACAUAAGAUAUUAAUAACAGGGAAAUUGAAUCGGGGGCAUAUUACCUUCUUCUAAAUCUGUACUACCUUCUGUACUACCUUCUUGUUGUGGGAAGUCAGGGACCCCGAAAGAAGGGACCAGCUGAAGCUAUGGCAGAAGAAUAUAAAUUGUGAAGAUUUCAUGGACAUUUAUCACUUCCCCAAUCAAUACUCUUAUAAUUUCCUAUGCUUGACUUUACUUUAAUCUCUUAACCCAAUUGUCUUCAUAAACUGAGGAUGUAUGUUGCCUCAGGACCCUGUGAUGAUUGCGUUAACUGUGUAAAUUGUUCGUAAAGCAUGUGUGUUUGAACGAUAUGAAAUCUGGGCACCCUGAAAAAGAACAGGAUAACAGCAAUGUUCAGGGAACAAGGGAGAUAACCAUUAGGUCUGACUGCCUGGGACCCGGGCAGGACAGUCAUAUUUCUCUUAUUGCCGAAAAUGGGUAAGAGAAAUAUCACUGAAUUAUUUCCCCAGUAAGGAAUAUUAAUAAUUAACAGCCCUGGGGAAAGAAUGGAUUCCCCGGGGAGGCCUCUAAAAUGGCCGCUCUGGGAGUGUCUGCUUUAUGCCGUUGUAGGUAGGGAUGAAACAUGCCCUGGUCUCCUGCAGCACCCCCAGGCUUGCUAGGAUUAGGAAAUUCCAGCCUGGUGAAUUCUAGACAGACUGGUACUCUGCUCUUGAACCCUGUUUCCUGUUAAGAUGUUUAUCGACGACAAUGCUUGCACAGUGGGACUUGAAACUUCAUCAGAAAUUGUAGUUUUGCCCUGGCCUUGUGACCUUGUCCUGCCCAUUUGCCUUGUGAUAUUUUAUUGCCUUUGAAGCAUGUGAUCUCUGUGACCCACACUGUGUUCGUACACUCCCUCCCCUUUGAAAAUUGCUAAUAAAAACUUGCUGGUUUUGUGGCUCAGGGGGCAUCACGGAACCUGCCGAUGUGAUGUCUCCCCUGGACACCCAGCUUUAAAAUUUCUCUCUUUUGUGCUCUUUCCCUUUAUUUCUCAGACUGGCCGACACUUAGG
rnacentral:lncRNA from 1 species